GUACAGAGGUUAUGGUAAGGGGUAGAGGGAGAGAAAAAGAUAGAACUACAUGUCCUCACCCCUCCCACUGCAUCUCUAUGAGAUGAUCAAAUGAAACAUGCAGAGGUAAGAGAAAUUGCUCAAGAUCAAACAUGAUGGAGUGGUCCCUCAGAGUAUGAUCCCAACAACAGUUACAUUAUUUGGAAUGCCACUGUGAAGACAGGUUGAAUGUGCCUAGAAUGUUGCUAUGGGCACAGUUAUCACUUGUGACCUGUGUCACAAACUAUUUCAGAGUCACAAGAAGAAUUCCAAUCAGUUGGAGAAAAAUGACACCUUAAGAAGUACGUACAUCACUAAUAAAAAGAAAAAAAAAUGUAUGUACAGAUCACUGAGACUCAGUAUAUCUGGAUCUUCUCUGGGUAUUAAUUUGAUUAAUAAUGUGUAAGGUUUGAUCUGUUUGUUAAUGCAUAUUAUCAUGGUCACAUGAACCCAGGAAAUUAUCAAAAAAAAUAAAUAAAUAA